AUUGAACGCUGGCGGCAUGCUUUACACAUGCAAGUCGAAAGAGUGGCGAACGGGUGAGUAACGCCUGGGAACGUACCGGAUAAUGGGGGAUAACUGUCCGAAAGGACAGCUAAUACCGAAUAUUAUUCGCUGGGCCGAGGGCGGAUGAGCUGGUAGGGGGGGUAAAGGCUCACCAAGGCGACGAUCAGUCACUGGUCUGAGAGGAUGAACGGCCACACUGGAACUGAGCAACGGACCAGACUCCUACGGGAGGCAGCAGUGGGGAAUUUUGGACAAUGGGCGCAAGCCUGAUCCAGCCAUGCCGCGUGUCUGAAGAAGGCCUUCGGGUUGUAACGUACUUUUGUCAGGGAAGCGGUACCUGCAGAAGAAGCACCGGCUAACUACGUGCCAGCAGCCGCGGUAAUUC
rnacentral:rRNA from 1 species